rnacentral:rRNA from 1 species
GAUGAACGCUGGCGGCGUGCCUAAUACAUGCAAGUCGUACGGAAAGGCCCUUCGGGGUACUCGAGUGGCGGACGGCUGAGUAACGCGUGGGAACGAGCCCCAAAGUGAGGGAUAACGCACCGAAAGGUGUGCUAAUACCGCAUAUGGUCUUCGGAUUAAAGCUUCGGCGCUUUGGGAGCGGCCCGCGUACGAUUAGAUAGUUGGUGAGGUAGUGGCUCACCAAGUCGACGAUCGUUAGCUGGUCUGAGAGGAUGAUCAGCCAGACUGGGACUGAGACACGGCCCAGACUCCUACGGGAGGCAGCAGUAAGGAAUCUUCCACAAUGGGGGCAACCCUGAUGGAGCAACGCCGCGUGCAGGAUGAAGGUUUUCGGAUCGUAAACUGCUUUUAUAAGUGAAGAAUAUGACGGUAACUUAUGAAUAAGGAUCGGCUAACUACGUGCCAGCCGCCGCAGUAA